GACGAACGCUGGCGGCGUGCUUAACACAUGCAAGUCGAGCGGUAAGGCCCUUUCGGGGGUACACGAGCGGCGAACGGGUGAGUAACACGUGGGUGACCUGCCCUCAGCUCUGGGAUAAGCCUGGGAAACCGGGUCUAAUACUGGAUAUGACUCCAUGACGCAUGUUGUGGGGUGGAAAGCCUUGCGCGGCUGAGGAUGGGCCCGCGGCCUAUCAGCUUGUUGGUGGGGGAUGGCCUACCAAGGCGACGACGGGUAGCCGGCCUGAGAGGGCGACCGGCCACACUGGGACUGAGACACGGCCCAGACUCCUACGGGAGGCAGCAGUGGGGAAUCUUGCGCAAUGGGCGAAAGCCUGACGCAGCGACGCCGCGUGAGGGAUGACGGCC
rnacentral:rRNA from 1 species